CGCCAGGCUUGUGCUGUAGUGCAAUACAGAAGCGACGCGCGAAGACCCUGGCAGCAAGCUACCGUAUGAGACUUCCCCCUCAAGAAAUUAAUUUAAUAUCGUGUGGUUCAUUGAACCAUGUAUCAGAUAUUAAACUGAUAAGAACAGAUACUACACUUGAUCUUAGCCAAAAGGCCGAGAAAGGGUUUCGUAAAAUUUUCCAGCCCAUUAUUGCUCAUGGCAUCGUUGACAGCACGACACAAUUUAUGCAGAAUCAGAAAGCCUUGAUUACCCUCUUCACCGCUGUCUGAAGAGUAUGGAGAGGGCUUUCAAUUUUGCAGACAACCAAAUACUACAGAUUCUUGGUUCAGCCAAACUCAUGAAUUUAUUGAAUUGGUUCUAUACCUCCUGCUGAAUACUAUGGGAUUUGUGUUUUAUAUUGUCUUUUAUGGUUGUCUUAAGCUUUUAAUGUGCCUGCUUGUGUUGCUUGGAUCUAUAAUGGACGAUGGAGGAGACAAGCACCCAUAAAUAAUGAAUUAUCACAGUUCUGAUU